rnacentral:rRNA from 1 species
UACAGAGGUCCCAAGCGUUGUUCGGAUUCACUGGGCGUAAAGGGUGCGUAGGCGGAACAGUAAGUCAGUGGUGAAAGCCUGUUGCUUAACAACAGAACUGCCAUCGAUACUGCUGAUCUUGAGUACAUAUGAUGUGGGCGGAAUGUGCCAUGUAGCGGUGAAAUGCUUAGAUAUGGCACAGAACACCGAUUGCGAAGGCAGCUCACAAAACUGUUACUGACGCUGAGGCACGAAAGCGUGGGGAUCAAACAGG